rnacentral:lncRNA from 1 species
AGUAAAUAAAAAUAAUAUCACUCUUACUUUUCAAGAGUUGUUAUCUCAUAACCAGCAAACAGACGGCAACAACCAAUAACGGAUCAAGCAACCCUUUUUUUUCUGGGGGGUGUAAUUUUGAGUAUCACAUGACGGGACGGGAGAUGACAGGUAUACACGAGAUACAUAUGUGAAAAAAAAUCUAAGCAUUAACAGCAGAGUGGAUGACCCAGUGCUGCCCAUCAAUUUGAACUUUCAGACCGUUAAUCUUAGCAAACAAAUUUACCGCUCUCCUUACGCCUCUGUUAUCCGCAGCAGUAAAAUAAUCGUGGCCAAAAAUUACCCCACCGGGUCUCAAGAUCCGCCAAGCCCGGUUGAUAUCCGCCCAGGCCGAGUUAAAGUCAUGGCCCGCGUCAAUUUCUAUCAAAUCACCCACCACUCCCCACUCACAAAGUUUGGUUAAAGCCGAGCCGCUGGAAAACGGCACGGGCAAAACCGAAUCGAUGGCGUUUUGGUAAAUUACAUUCUGCAGGAACUGGAAAUAAAGUAAAACGUUGCCGUUUACCAUCGGAAUUUCCUUGAAUUUAUCGCGAAACCCAGGCCAGCCACGGAAGUCGUCGAUACAGAGAAUCUGAGAAUCGAGUCCCAAUUGGCGGGUCAAGUUGGCCAUGUGAAGAGCUGAGGCGCCGAGGAAGGACCCUACUUCGAUGAUGACACGCGGCCUGACUUUAUCAAUGAGGUUUCCGAAAACGGCACCGUAGGAGCCCCACCCCUUGAUGCGACGCCGGCGAAGUAGGUGACUAAUAUGCGGCGGCGGGAAAUUGACGUAAGGGGAGGUGCCGUUGAAGAUUCGGUCAAUGAUGGUUUGACGGACGAGUUGAGGAGGAACUGAGUCGGCGGCGCAGCGAGUCGUGACUCGGAAGUUGUCUAGUAGACUUGGAGGAAGCUGGAUGGUUGAAUUUGAAGUGGCUGUGGCUGUGGCUGUGGCUGCACCUGCACCGGCACGUGGACGUGAUGGUGGUGGUGGUGGUGGUGUGUGGGGUUUUGGGGAGGAUAGGUAACCCAGGGCGUAGGAUAGCAGGAGGAGGAUAAUAUACGCCGUUGGGUUAUUGAAGAGUUUCUUGGUUAUGUACAUGUUUACUUUGUGGUGGAAGCGGUGGUGGUCUUCUUUUGCUCACAUGUUUUGUCGUUUAUUUGGUGAAUUCUUGAUUGUUAAGACUAACUAAUUACUUGAUACAUACGGUUGAUUUAAAGAGAACAACAUCAAGUAAUCAACUACCAGCGGUGACUAACAAUAUACAAUUAUCUUUUCCACAAUUCUAUCUGUGUUUUAAUAAUAACAACUACAAUAAUAAUAUUAAGGUAUGCUUAUGAAACGACUGUCGACUAGGACUACAAAACUACCGAGAAAAAAAAUGGUGAUGAUGGUUAGUGUUUGUGAGAAGGAAAGAGGAUGGAUCUGCUUCUGCUGUGUGGGGUGAGUUAGUAGAAAUUGCGUGUUUACUACACGGAUGAUCAUGAAAAGACUCGAAAACUUGUUGAUUACGAUUUCAGAGGCAUUGUAAAAUACGGGUUGAGUUUUACAAUUCAGCUCAAACCUUUCCCAACCUUUGAUUGGAAUGAAAUGGUAUAAGCUAUGAUGUAUUGAUGAGGGAGAUUAUAGUCUAUUAUAUAUAUAUAUAUCUGCUGUACCGUACAUCCGCCUUGGCCGUACAGCAGAGUUGAAUGCGGAAUUUUUCGUCAUUCACUACGUUUCCAUAUUUAUUUUUGCAAUAAUAUUGUAUUUAUUUAGUUAGAACACUUAUGGUGUAUUUAUUUAUGGGUUUAAAAAAUUAGAAUGAAGGAAUGAGAAUUAAAUUAUUAAUAUUUAUCAUUAUUAUUAUUUAUUAAAAAUAAUAAUAACAAUAAUUAAUAAUAACUAAAAUAAUAAAGUUAAUAAAAUUUAAUAAUAAUAAUAAUAACAACAACAAAAACAAUAAUGAUAAUAUUGUUAAUAAUGAUAAAUUAAUUACUAUUAAUAUGGGUAUUUUGGUAAAUUAAUUAUCAUUCUCAUCCCUUAUUCCUAUUUAUUUUGCCAAGUAAACACAUCAAUGACAUUUCAGCACAUUCACAUUCUUAUUUAUUUUUGCCAAGUAAAUAUUGAAAUCUCAUUUUCAUUCGUCAUUCUCAUUCCAACCAAUUCUCAUUCUCAGCCCAUUCUCAUUUUACUCUAUUUCUAUUCUCAUGAAGUAAACACACAAUUAAAUUUAUAUCUUAAUUGAUGUAAUAAAUAACUUACUAUUAUUAUAUAAUUAAUUCAAGUGAUGAAUAAUUUUUUAAAUUUUUUUAUUCAAAUAAUAAAUCUCUAUUUAUGAUACACCAAUUAAAAUACAAACAGACUAAAUAUUCCAAGUAAAUAAAAAUAAUAUCACUCUUACUUUUCAAGAGUUGUUAUCUCAUAACCAGCAAACAGACGGCAACAACCAAUAACGGAUCAAGCAACCCUUUUUUUUCUGGGGGGUGUAAUUUUGAGUAUCACAUGACGGGACGGGAGAUGACAGGUAUACACGAGAUACAUAUGUGAAAAAAAAUCUAAGCAUUAACAGCAGAGUGGAUGACCCAGUGCUGCCCAUCAAUUUGAACUUUCAGACCGUUAAUCUUAGCAAACAAAUUUACCGCUCUCCUUACGCCUCUGUUAUCCGCAGCAGUAAAAUAAUCGUGGCCAAAAAUUACCCCACCGGGUCUCAAGAUCCGCCAAGCCCGGUUGA